rnacentral:rRNA from 1 species
GAUGAACGCUAGCUACAGGCUUAACACAUGCAAGUCGAGGGACCGGCGCACGGGUGAGUAACACGUAUCCAACCUGCCCUUUACUCGGGGAUAGCCUUUCGAAAGAAAGAUUAAUACCCGAUAUAAAGGAUGGGGAUGCGUUCCAUUAGGUUGUUGGUGAGGUAACGGCCCACCAAGCCUUCGAUGGAUAGGGGUUCUGAGAGGAAGGGCCCCCACAUUGGAAACUGGGCAAGGUCCCAACCCCUACGGGAGGCAGCAGUGAUGAAGUAUUGGCAAUGGGCGCCUGCCUGAACCAGCCAAGUUGCGUUAAGGAUGAAGGCUUUUGGGUCGUAAACUUCUUUUAUAUAAGAAUAUGUAUUAUAUGAAUAAGGAUCGGCUAACUCCGUGCCAGCAGCUGCGGUAAUUC